AAAAGACACUAAGGAAGGCAGAACAAAAGACAGCAUAUACUGUAUAAAUACAUGUGUGGCAUAAAAUAUACCAUCUAUAUUCAGCCUAGAACAGUGUUACGCCCUCAAUAAAUUUUUUGUUGAGUGGAUAUAUGAAUAAUUAAUGAAAAGUCUCCAAAUGAUUUGACCAAAGGUGAUAGGGAAAUGAUUUAACCUUGACUAACUGGGAUGUUUGUAUUCUGAAACAGAAAUUCUGCUGAGAUGGGAAAAAGCAAAGUUGAAUCGGAGCAGACCCAUGUUAAACAGAACUACCUUUGGCACCAUAACUAUGAAAGCAGAGAGUGACCUCUCCUUCCGUCUUGUUAGGUAUGGGGGAAGCCCCAGCACCUUUACGUCACGUGCUCAGUGAGAGGUGAACACCUCACUCCACUGUCUUAGGUGCUCCACUGGAAGAGUCAAGUAAGUCAGGCGACCACAUAAAUCUUAUUCCCAAUUACUCAUAUAACUAGUGAACAUUCAACAUGAUACUUUGACGUUAGCUUCAUGUUUCUUGACCCUUUUAUUCUCAUUAGACAGCAUUAACUGAGUUAUUAAACAAAGCGGAACAAAUGUUUUUAUUAAAAUGAAUAUUGAGACUAAUUCCUGUUCCUAAAAACAUAGCCAAUUUGGGGAUAAAAUCAAAUUCAAUUUGCAUUAUUUUUGCUUUUUAACAAAUCCUAAACCAAAAUGAUGAGGGAAAACAGAAACCUUUGUAUUUAAUGGCUAUAAAAUACCUUUCCUGAAAAAGAACAGAUUAAAACUCAUACUAUAUUAAAUCUAUGAAAAUAAAAAUAUUAAAAAAAUAAACAAAAUAGCUGUAUUUAAAUAUCAGAGUUUUCACAAGAAAAUUAACAAUUUGCAGAAGUGACGAAUAAUAAUCAUUACGAGUAAUAAUAGUUAAUAUAAUACCACCAACAAUAGUAAUCCAUCUGAAAAUUCUUACCAAGCCACCACCAAUGACAGCUACUUUUUUCCUUUGAAUGACAGAUGAGUCCAUAACUGCUGAAGUAUUUUUCACAAUUAUUGUUGCUUCUGUCACUGAGUGACACUGAUUUCUGUGUCUCCUACACACUGAUUUCUCUGAGUUUUUAUACUGCCCCAAGCCUAGUGCAUUCAUGAGCCAGCGGCAAUGUUUAGUCAGGGCUAAUUUCCCUUGACAGUAUUAACCCAUUAGUUGGCCAAAGUACAAUCAGCUCAGCUCUAAGAAAAAAUAAAUCCAUUACAAUAACCAAAUUUUUUAAAAAAUCCAUCCAAUUGGAGACACUCUAUUUUUUCUAUCUUCUGUGUAAGACACAGAAAUUUUUAAGCAGUCUUGUGGCUUUUCUUCUUCUUUUUCUACAGCAUAUAUUCUUAGUUUCGUUUUCAUUCAUGAUUAACCAUGAAUGGAGCCCUUCUCAUCUGAAGUCCAAAAACAUCUUAUACCUCCCUUAGAGAGUAAGAUGACAUGGUUUCAUAAUUCAUCUGUGGAUCAUUUUUGUGGUUAAGACCAAUCAAAAAUUUCAUCUAAAGGGUCCUCAUGGAUUGUUUUUAACAGGCUCUACCAGGGAAAAUUCUCUGCAAGGUCUUAAUAUUCUCCCGAUCAACAUUUUGAAUUGUGUAACUGACCAUACUUCCCCUUUUUUUUUUCAGCCCAGAUGCUAGAAAAUUUAGAAUCUAAUUUUAGAAUCGAAAAUUUAGAGUCUAAUUACCACUAGGGGAGAUGACUGACACAACGCUUCUGUAAACUCAUUCCCGACUUCAUAUUAUCUAUUCACUUUUUUGUCUUUUUCACUCCGUUUUAAAUGUUAUACUUUUGUGCAUGAUUUGCGAAUGGCAAUUGUUUUCUGGAACAUGAUGUGGUGUAAUGUAAAAUAAGAACAUAAAUGAAGUUGUUUCUUCACUUCCUGUUAAGCACAUAAAGAAUUCAGAACGUUUUUUUCCCUGGUUAGGAACUAGAGUUAAAUGGCAUUCAAUAGUGACCCCUUGUGGAUAAGCAUGAUUAGGUAUUUUAUUUAUUUUGAAUAGGUAAUACAUUAACAUGGCAUGAAAUUAAAGACACAAAAGAGUACACGGUGAAUAG
rnacentral:lncRNA from 10 species